rnacentral:misc_RNA from 1 species
GAAGAAGAAGAACAAGAAGAAGAACUUCACUACGACAACUCCGACGACGACCAAAAAGAUGACGUUCCACAGAAUCGUUACAAACCUUUUUUUAACCCUAAUCCUUCUUCAUCUUCAUUGCUCCCUUCCGCUCUUGAUGCCUUCUCCGAAAUUUCAGGGCCGCCGGAGUUUUUGAACAACAGUGUUGAAGAAGCGGGAAAGGACGUUAAUGAACAGAGACACGGUCGCCGUAAGUACAGCAGAAACAAGAAUGAUUUACCAGCUGGUGCUGUAGUGGAGUCAAAGGCUCAAUUAGUAGGACUUCAUGAGAGGGUGAGAAGCGAUGUCGGUGGGGGCAUCCCAAAAGCAGCCACUGGUCAAGGAAAUGCUUUUGUUGGCACUGUACAAGGAGGCAAAUCUGUGGCAACUGCGAGCUAUCCUGGUGCAGAAGAUGCAGCAGAGCUUCUGAGGAUGUGCUUGAGAUGUGGAAUUCCCAAAACAUACACACACACAAAAGGGAUGGUGUGCCCAGCGUGCAGUGAUCACCCUGUAAACUCUGACGAAGAGCCAGUCAAGAAAAAGGGGUCUACCGUCAAAGACAAGGAGAAGAAUAAGAGGAUGAAGGGGCAGUCAUCCCAUGCAACAUGGAAAAGUGAGACGGAAAUGCAUCUCCGCCAACAAUUUGAUUAGUCAAGUCUAAAACAAGUUGGUCCAAAAUAUAGUUAGGUCCUCCAGUAACAUAAUCGAUCAACUAUGUACUUAUAGCAGCUCUACUCAGCUGAAGUGAUACUCGGAAUUAUGAGGUAAUCUUGCAGCUAUCUGUUUAAAGUGCAUAACCUGUGUGAUGUAGAUUCUGGUCUGGCUUUAAAGCUAAGGUGCCACCACUUUGUUUGUUUUUCUCAAGUUGUUGCAGCAUAAAUUUAGUUUUUGAUACUUCUUGUUUGGAAGAAGCCGUGUAGUAAACAUGUAUCAUGCUCUUUCAUCAUUGUCAACUUGGGACUUGAUUAUACAUUAUGUAGG